UAAAAAAGGUACAAAAUAAAAUAGAAAAAAAAACAUAAAUAAAGAAAAAUAAAUAAAUGUUGCAUAUCAGAUAAGUAAUAUUAUUUUUACUCGCUAGAACUUGUAUUUUUUUAACUAUUUGGUCAAGUAAUUAUUAUAGUAAGAAAAUGUAAUUAUUGAUAUGAAGAAAUAUAAUAUUUCUAAAACCUUACAUUUCUUUAUAUUGAUUAUUACUUUUCAUCAUAAUUGUAAAAUCAUAAAUAAAAUACAAAAAAAAAAAUCACUGCAAAAAAAAAGUAGAAAAUAAAAUAAAAAUAAAAAAUAAAAAAGGUCACAAAUAAAUGAAAAAUAAAUAAAUAUUGCAUCACAAAAAACCACUAUAAAAAAAUUAGAAAAUAAAAUAGAAAAAUAAACAUAAAAAAAAAUGUUGCAUCACACAAGAAAACGCAUUUGGGUUUUGAACCCUUGACCAUUGAGAAUAAAGAAUUAAGUAACUCUUUUCAUUUUCAAUUGUAAAAAGUGUAGUAUUUAUCCACUUCCCGCGCCCGCCUAUGCCCAUCCCGUGUCCAACCCGCAUACCUGCGCCUUAACCCGACUCGACCCGUCUCAUGGUAUGAGGUCAAAAUAUUCUGUGCAAUCACAAAUUACAAAUAUUUCUCAUUUUUUUUUCUGU
rnacentral:lncRNA from 1 species